GGGCAGGUGGCAGAGCGGCCAAAUGCACCUGACUGUAAAUCAGGCGACCACCGGUCUUCGUAGGUUCAAAUCCUACCCUGCCCACAA
rnacentral:tRNA from 1 species